GUACCAAAAGCUAGAUUUCUGGGGAAGAUUUUUUUUAACUUUAACAAACUUGGGAUAUUUGCCGGAAUUAUUAAGACCACACUCCACAGUGGGCUGUACUAUAUUGGAUAUUUACUACUAUCUUGUGACCUACAAU
ensembl:snoRNA small nucleolar RNA SNORA4